CCACGAGUUGUUUCUGAAUCCGUCCACGAGGAAGCGCAGACAAACUGUUUUUUCGGCGUCUUGGUGCAUGCAACCCAGUGAAUCCUCUGCGCGUGUUUUCGAUUUUCGUCGUAGUUGGAACAUCGGCCGUCCUCGUGCGGGCGCGCGUCUCUCUCUCUAGAGGGAGACGCCUCGGUGCCUGAACAUCGUCUUUACUCUUCUUCCUCCCCUGGUGAUUCCCACCAACCAAAAAGUCUGGCUUUCUAGAUAAUGACGUUGGCAGCACUCUCACCUGUUGCGGCGGCCGACGGAUCGGCAGCUUCAAAAAUGUCGCGCAUGAUUCUGAAAAAGAGGAAAAAUACACAGCCUGCCGGCAUGGAAGGAACUCCACGCUGACACCGGAGAUGAAAGCGAAAACUCCUUCGGCAUGUAUAUAUAUAUAUAUAUAUAUAUAUGCGUACCUGUACGAAUCUGUGCAGAUACGUAUAUAUAUGUAUAUAUAUGGCGUGUGUGUGCAGGCGCAUCUCGAAGGCAAGUGUAUGUGAGUGUAGUAUGUGUCUAGAGACAUCAUUGUCUACGCUUAUAUGCGUAUAUGUGUUCUUGGAAGUAUGUGGAUCUAGGCUUGUACUCAAACGGGUUUACCUCCACGCAUCCUCCAAUUCAUCUUUGUAGCACAGCUGGACUGCCUCGUCGGUCACAUGGCACAGAUUUGUCCUGAGAAAACUGAGAUCUCGACCGGGAUGUCUUUCAUCUCCCCUGGAAGACAGCCGGCGACCUAAUUCCGUUUCUCCCACUCCGCAUUCCAACACUCACCCGACUGCGGCCUUUCGCCUCUCCCGGAGAGUCCGGAUCACCCCCGGUGCUUGCUGUGGACAGGUCAAAGAGCGAAUAAGGAAAGGC
rnacentral:lncRNA from 1 species